rnacentral:rRNA from 1 species
GCAUGUGGUUUAAUUCGAAGCUACGCGAAGAACCUUACCAGGUCUUGACAUACUAUGCAAAUCUAAGAGAUUAGACGUUCCUUUCGGGGACAUGGAUACAGGUGGUGCAUGGUUGUCGUCAGCUCGUGUCGUGAGAUGUUGGGUUAAGUCCCGCAACGAGCGCAACCCUUAUUAUCAGUUGCCAGCAUUAAGUUGGGCACUCUGGUGAGACUGCCGGUGACAAACCGGAGGAAGGUGGGGAUGACGUCAAAUCAUCAUGCCCCUUAUGACCUGGGCUACACACGUGCUACAAUGGAUGGUACAACGAGUUGCGAACUCGCGAGAGUAAGCAAAUUUUUAAAGCCAUUCUCAGUUCGGAUUGUAGGCUGCAACUCGCCUACAUGAAGUCGGAAUCGCUAGUAAUCGCGGAUCAGCAUGCCGCGGUGAAUACGUUCCCGGGCCUUGUACACACCGCCCGUCACACCAUGAGAGUUUGUAACACCCAAAGUCGGUGGGGUAACCUUUUAGGAACCAGCCGCCUAAGGUGGGACAGAUGAUUAGGGGAAGUUUUAAACAAGGGGGC